rnacentral:rRNA from 1 species
UACGGAGGGUGCAAGCGUUAUCCGGAUUUACUGGGUUUAAAGGGUGCGUAGGCGGACUUUUAAGUCAGUGGUGAAAUCCCCGAGCUUAACUCGGAAACUGCCAUUGAUACUAUUAGUCUUGAAUUCGGUCGAGGUUGGCGGAAUGUGUCGUGUAGCGGUGAAAUGCUUAGAUAUGACACAGAACACCGAUUGCGAAGGCAGCUAGCUAGACCGACAUUGACGCUGAGAUGCGAAAGCGUGGGGAGCAAACAGG